GGAACACAGGUCAGUGAGAACUCUGCAGCCACUGUAUGGUGGUAGACAGCAGAGGAAAGGGAAGAAGCAGCAGGAACAGACUCAUUGGACCUGAUUCUCCACUCUCCUCCACUGCCUUGCAUCUUCUGUAGUCAUUUAGGCCAAGAAUUUUUCAAAACGAGAGCCUAAGUCUUGUCCCAAGAGAAAACAUUCGUCAAUUAUUCAGCAGUUCCAGGAGUGCCUCAAAUCUCCUGGGGGGAGAUGAAUUCCACAAAACCAAUUUUCAAGAAAGGACAAUUGACCCGGUGGCGAUUUUUUUUUGUUUCUUUUCUCUUUUAAGAAAAACUACAAAGCCUAUUAAGAUGCAUUGUGAAUAAUUGAGUCUGACAGUUCAUGGCUUUAACAAGCUUGCCACUAAGGGAAAAAAGUCUAGAAACAAGUGGAAGGACAGACCAGGGAUCAUAGUUCAUCCUCUCAUUUGAAA